GGGGAGAGGAGGGGAGUUGAAAGCACCCUGACGGCGAUUGGAAGAGCAGGGGAGUGACGUAUAACGCGCCAAACCAAUUAAAAAGUCGUGUCCUGCCUCAACCGGAGAGAGCCUGAUGGGGGUGUCUGUCCGCGGGAAGCAGCGCAUGCGUGGUCAUCCGUUUCUGGAACAGUGUUGGAAUCCGAAGGCUGGAUGAACACUAUGGGAAUAUUCUCAGACGUCCAUCCCUUAGGAGUCCUGUUGAAGGACCUCCUAGUAGAAAGAGGGUUAGCGAGGAUCAUGAACCUGGGAUCAUUUAGCAGCAGUAGAUUAAAAUCUGCCUUUUCUGAUUCUACCUCAUUUUCACAUCAUCCCAAGAAGAGCCAACUCUGGUUCCAAAAAUUGAUCCUGGCAAGGUGA